ACAAAACAGCACACGCGUGGCAUGUAGCUGGGGUGCACACUGCUGAGAAUGUGGGUCAGUGACAAUGGACGAAAGUCCCCUGCUCACACAGCAGCACAAGGCUCCCUGACAGCACUGACAGAAGACCCCCGAGGCUGCGGGCUCCUUUGCGAGGCAUCUGAACAACACUCCAGGCUGUACAGUGUCUCAUGUGCCCAGGUUGGUCCUGAACCUGCGGUGUGGCUCAGGGUUGCCGGAGAGCUAUCUGCGAGUAUGAAACAAGAGAAGAAACAAGCAGAAACGAGAGCGCCGGCCUCAAGCUGAAGAGAUGGCUUAGAGGUUAAGAGCAUGAACUAGUCUUCCAGACUGAUUCCCAGAGGCCACAUCAGAUGGCUCACAACCACAUGUGACUCCAGCUCCAUCAGGCCUCUGUGGAUGCCCGCAUCGAGUGUGUGUCCGUGCUCAUACACAUGCACGUGUAUACAGAUGCUCAUGAGGACAGAGUUAGUUACCAGUUGCCUGAUGUCAGUGCUGGGACCACAUCCAGUGCUCUGCAAGCACUGCAGUAGCUUUUACUCACUGAGACAGUUCUCUAGGCCCCCAAAUUAUGA
rnacentral:lncRNA from 1 species